rnacentral:lncRNA from 1 species
ACGGUUCCCACGGGGGCGGGGCUUCACACGUGACCCGGGACAGCCAAUCGCGGGCGCGCAGCGGAGGGGCGUGUCGCGCGGAACAAAAGGCCUUUCCCGAGCGGGGCGGGGCGGGGCCGAGAUCACGCUGAUGCCCACAGGACCGGCACGGCGUGGGGUGCAACAAGGGGCAGCCACCCACCUAGGAAAGGGUGCACAGUGGGGGCACCCACGGGGGCAGGCACCGGAGGGGGUGCCCACAGAGGAUAGAGGACGCCGAGAAGUGACCUGGGGAGCCAUAGGAUGAGGAAGAGAGAAGAGAUGACAGCAGGGGCUGUAGGAGGUCACCCUCCACGGAGGGAGGGGUGACGGCAGAGGCGUCCGCAGGAGCUGGUACCGGUGGGGCUGCCCCCAGGGGGGGCUGACAGAGGCAGCAACUGAGCAGGCAGGGGUGGAGCGAGGUGCCAGCCUGCCGUGGAAAGGAGACGCCAGCAGCGGGGGGCCCUCCUGGGGUCCCAGUCCUGCUCUGCCCCACAGCUCAGCCCCAGCACCUCCAGCCACAACCAAGAGCAACGCCUGAUACGGGCUAAGGGUCUCUGCUCUCUGAUACACAUUCAUGUGUAAAAUAACAGGCUAAGCACUGUUGAAAAAAUAAAGGAAAACAGACUUCACAAGGAUCUCCGUGCUGAAAGCAGCCUUCAACAGGAAGGUCCCUGGAGAAUCAGCUCCUUCCAAAAGAUCAGGGGAUGAAGACUUCAAGACCGCAACUGCUGCUGUCUCACCCCUAGGCAGGAAUGGACCACCCUCCGCCCUCCACCCUCCGCCAGCAGCCCACAGGAAGCAAGUAGAACCUGAUACCACCUCCCGCCAGUCUGUGAAUAUAUAAUCUGACUUGUAUUUUCCCUGUUUUCCCAUUUUGCAUACUUCAGAAUAAAGACAUCUGUUCAUAACACUA